rnacentral:rRNA from 1 species
UGGGGAAUAUUGCACAAUGGGGGAAACCCUGAUGCAGCGACGCCGCGUGAACGAAGAAGGUAUUCGUAUCGUAAAGUUCUGUCCUAUGGGAAGAUAAUGACAGUACCAUAGAAGAAAGCUCCGGCUAAAUACGUGCCAGCAGCCGCGGUAAUACGUAUGGAGCGAGCGUUGUCCGGAAUUAUUGGGCGUAAAGGGUACGCAGGCGGUUUAAUAAGUCGAAUGUUAAAGAUCGGGGCUCAACCCCGCAAAGCAUUGGAAACUGAUAAACUUGAGUAGUGUAGAGGAAAGUGGAAUUCCUAGUGUAGUGGUGAAAUACGUAGAUAUUAGGAGGAAUACCAGUAGCGAAGGCGACUUUCUGGACACAAACUGACGCUGAGGUACGAAAGCGUGGGGAGCAAACAGG